ensembl:snRNA U6 U6 spliceosomal RNA
GUGCUUCUGCAAGCACAUAUACUAAAACUGGAGCAAUGUAGAGGUUAGUGUGGCCCCUGCAUGAGGUUGACAUGCAAAUUCCAUAUUUUUAUGUAGUCAAU